rnacentral:misc_RNA from 1 species
CCUUCAAUACAAAGAUGACAAUAACAAGUCUUAGCCCAAGACCCAUGGCCAGAUUAACCAUUCACACACCCGCCCCAGCUCAACACGCAAGAUCGAAGGACCAAAAAGCAAUAACCCAUCUGAGGCGGGUUGGGGAUCCAAAUCCAUGAACCCGUCCUGGACUACAGGCAAUACCGUCACCAAAGCGCCAACUACAUUAGCAAGACGCUACUGAGCUGGCCAUCCAUUCCCGCUGGGGAUCCAACGCCAACUGAAGCACAUAAA